UGGCGGCAUGCUUAACACAUGCAAGUCGAACGGGAAGUGGUGUUUCCAGUGGCGAACGGGUGAGUAACGCGUGGGAAUUUGCCCCUUGGUUCGGAAUAACAGUUGGAAACGACUGCUAAUACCGGAUGAUGACGUAAGUCCAAAGAUUUAUCGCCGAGGGAUGAGCCCGCGUAGGAUUAGGUAGUUGGUGUGGUAAAGGCGCACCAAGCCGACGAUCCUUAGCUGGUCUGAGAGGAUGAUCAGCCACACUGGGACUGAGACACGGCCCAGACUCC
rnacentral:rRNA from 1 species